AGACCCGAAACCCGGUGAUCUAGCCAUGGGCAGGUUGAAGGUUGGGUAACACUAACUGGAGGACCGAACCGACUAAUGUUGAAAAAUUAGCGGAUGACCUGUGGCUGGGGGUGAAAGGCCAAUCAAACCGGGAGAUAGCUGGUUCUCCCCGAAAGCUAUUUAGGUAGCGCCUCGUGAAUUCAUCUCCGGGGGUAGAGCACUGUUUCGGCUAGGGGGCCAUCCCGGCUUACCAACCCGAUGCAAACUGCGAAUACCGGAGAAUGUUAUCACGGGAGACACACGGCGGGUGCUAACGUCCGUCGUGAAGAGGGAAACAACCCAGACCGCCAGCUAAGGUCCCAAAGUCAUGGUUAAGUGGGAAACGAUGUGGGAAGGCCCAGACAGCCAGGAUGUUGGCUUAGAAGCAGCCAUCAUUUAAAGAAAGCGUAAUAGCUCACUGGUCGAGUCGGCCUGCGCGGAAGAUGUAACGGGGCUAAACCAUGCACCGAAGCUGCGGCAGCGACACUAUGUGUUGUUGGGUAGGGGAGCGUUCUGUAAGCCUGUGAAGGUGUGCUGUGAGGCAUGCUGGAGGUAUCAGAAGUGCGAAUGCUGACAUAAGUAACGAUAAAGCGGGUGAAAAGCCCGCUCGCCGGAAGACCAAGGGUUCCUGUCCAACGUUAAUCGGGGCAGGGUGAGUCGACCCCUAAGGCGAGGCCGAAAGGCGUAGUCGAUGGGAAACGGGUUAAUAUUCCCGUACUUGGUGUUACUGCGAAGGGGGGACGGAGAAGGCUAUGUUGGCCGGGCGACGGUUGUCCCGGUUUAAGCGUGUAGGUGUGUGUUCCAGGUAAAUCCGGUUCACUUUAACACUGAGGCGUGAUGACGAGGCACUACGGUGCUGAAGCAACAAAUGCCCUGCUUCCAGGAAAAGCCUCUAAGCAUCAGGUAACAUCAAAUCGUACCCCAAACCGACACAGGUGGUCAGGUAGAGAAUACCAAGGCGCUUGAGAGAACUCGGGUGAAGGAACUAGGCAAAAUGGUGCCGUAACUUCGGGAGAAGGCACGCUGACACGUAGGUGAAGUGAUUUACUCAUGGAGCUGAAGUCAGUCGAAGAUACCAGCUGGCUGCAACUGUUUAUUAAAAACACAGCACUGUGCAAACACGAAAGUGGACGUAUACGGUGUGACGCCUGCCCGGUGCCGGAAGGUUAAUUGAUGGGGUCAGCGCAAGCGAAGCUCCUGAUCGAAGCCCCGGUAAACGGCGGCCGUAACUAUAACGGUCCUAAGGUAGCGAAAUUCCUUGUCGGGUAAGUUCCGACCUGCACGAAUGGCGUAAUGAUGGCCAGGCUGUCUCCACCCGAGACUCAGUGAAAUUGAACUCGCUGUGAAGAUGCAGUGUACCCGCGGCAAGACGGAAAGACCCCGUGAACCUUUACUAUAGCUUGACACUGAACAUUGAGCCUUGAUGUGUAGGAUAGGUGGGAGGCUUUGAAGUGUGGACGCCAGUCUGCAUGGAGCCGACCUUGAAAUACCACCCUUUAAUGUUUGAUGUUCUAACGUGGACCCGUGAUCCGGGUUGCGGACAGUGUCUGGUGGGUAGUUUGACUGGGGCGGUCUCCUCCUAAAGAGUAACGGAGGAGCACGAAGGUUGGCUAAUCCUGGUCGGACAUCAGGAGGUUAGUGCAAUGGCAUAAGCCAGCUUGACUGCGAGCGUGACGGCGCGAGCAGGUGCGAAAGCAGGUCAUAGUGAUCCGGUGGUUCUGAAUGGAAGGGCCAUCGCUCAACGGAUAAAAGGUACUCCGGGGAUAACAGGCUGAUACCGCCCAAGAGUUCAUAUCGACGGCGGUGUUUGGCACCUCGAUGUCGGCUCAUCACAUCCUGGGGCUGAAGUAGGUCCCAAGGGUAUGGCUGUUCGCCAUUUAAAGUGGUACGCGAGCUGGGUUUAGAACGUCGUGAGACAGUUCGGUCCCUAUCUGCCGUGGGCGCUGGAGAACUGAGGGGGGCUGCUCCUAGUACGAGAGGACCGGAGUGGACGCAUCACUGGUGUUCGGGUUGUCAUGCCAAUGGCACUGCCCGGUAGCUAAAUGCGGAAGAGAUAAGUGCUGAAAGCAUCUAAGCACGAAACUUGCCCCGA
rnacentral:rRNA from 1 species